rnacentral:rRNA from 2 species
GGGUUGUGAGGUUAAGCGACUAAGCGUACACGGUGGAUGCCCUGGCAGUCAGAGGCGAUGAAGGGCGUGCUAAUCUGCGAUAAGCGCCGGUAAGGUGAUAUGAACCGUUAUAACCGGCGAUACCCGAAUGGGGAAACCCAGUGUGAUUCGUCACACUAUCAUUAACUGAAUCCAUAGGUUAAUGAGGCGAACCGGGGGAACUGAAACAUCUAAGUACCCCGAGGAAAAGAAAUCAACCGAGAUUCCCCCAGUAGCGGCGAGCGAACGGGGAGGAGCCCAGAGCCUGAAUCAGCAUGUGUGUUAGUGGAAGCGUCUGGAAAGGCGCGCGAUACAGGGUGACAGCCCCGUACACAAAAGCGCAUGUGCUGUGAGCUCGAUGAGUAGGGCGGGACACGUGGUAUCCUGUCUGAAUAUGGGGGGACCAUCCUCCAAGGCUAAAUACUCCUGACUGACCGAUAGUGAACCAGUACCGUGAGGGAAAGGCGAAAAGAACCCCGGCGAGGGGAGUGAAAAAGAACCUGAAACCGUGUACGUACAAGCAGUGGGAGCACAGGUUUACCUGUGUGACUGCGUACCUUUUGUAU